rnacentral:rRNA from 2 species
AGAGUUUGAUCAUGGCUCAGGACGAACGCUGGCGGCGUGCCUAAUACAUGCAAGUCGAACGAACUCUGGUAUUGAUUGGUGCUUGCAUCAUGAUUUACAUUUGAGUGAGUGGCGAACUGGUGAGUAACACGUGGGAAACCUGCCCAGAAGCGGGGGAUAACACCUGGAAACAGAUGCUAAUACCGCAUAACAACUUGGACCGCAUGGUCCGAGUUUGAAAGAUGGCUUCGGCUAUCACUUUUGGAUGGUCCCGCGGCGUAUUAGCUAGAUGGUGGGGUAACGGCUCACCAUGGCAAUGAUACGUAGCCGACCUGAGAGGGUAAUCGGCCACAUUGGGACUGAGACACGGCCCAAACUCCUACGGGAGGCAGCAGUAGGGAAUCUUCCACAAUGGACGAAAGUCUGAUGGAGCAACGCCGCGUGAGUGAAGAAGGGUUUCGGCUCGUAAAACUCUGUUGUUAAAGAAGAACAUAUCUGAGAGUAACUGUUCAGGUAUUGACGGUAUUUAACCAGAAAGCCACGGCUAACUACGUGCCAGCAGCCGCGGUAAUACGUAGGUGGCAAGCGUUGUCCGGAUUUAUUGGGCGUAAAGCGAGCGCAGGCGGUUUUUUAAGUCUGAUGUGAAAGCCUUCGGCUCAACCGAAGAAGUGCAUCGGAAACUGGGAAACUUGAGUGCAGAAGAGGACAGUGGAACUCCAUGUGUAGCGGUGAAAUGCGUAGAUAUAUGGAAGAACACCAGUGGCGAAGGCGGCUGUCUGGUCUGUAACUGACGCUGAGGCUCGAAAGUAUGGGUAGCAAACAGGAUUAGAUACCCUGGUAGUCCAUACCGUAAACGAUGAAUGCUAAGUGUUGGAGGGUUUCCGCCCUUCAGUGCUGCAGCUAACGCAUUAAGCAUUCCGCCUGGGGAGUACGGCCGCAAGGCUGAAACUCAAAGGAAUUGACGGGGGCCCGCACAAGCGGUGGAGCAUGUGGUUUAAUUCGAAGCUACGCGAAGAACCUUACCAGGUCUUGACAUACUAUGCAAAUCUAAGAGAUUAGACGUUCCCUUCGGGGACAUGGAUACAGGUGGUGCAUGGUUGUCGUCAGCUCGUGUCGUGAGAUGUUGGGUUAAGUCCCGCAACGAGCGCAACCCUUAUUAUCAGUUGCCAGCAUUAAGUUGGGCACUCUGGUGAGACUGCCGGUGACAAACCGGAGGAAGGUGGGGAUGACGUCAAAUCAUCAUGCCCCUUAUGACCUGGGCUACACACGUGCUACAAUGGAUGGUACAACGAGUUGCGAACUCGCGAGAGUAAGCUAAUCUCUUAAAGCCAUUCUCAGUUCGGAUUGUAGGCUGCAACUCGCCUACAUGAAGUCGGAAUCGCUAGUAAUCGCGGAUCAGCAUGCCGCGGUGAAUACGUUCCCGGGCCUUGUACACACCGCCCGUCACACCAUGAGAGUUUGUAACACCCAAAGUCGGUGGGGUAACCUUUUAGGAACCAGCCGCCUAAGGUGGGACAGAUGAUUAGGGUGAAGUCGUAACAAGGUAGCCGUAGGAGAACCUGCGGUUGGAUCACC